rnacentral:lncRNA from 1 species
AUGAGGGCCACUGUCGCCCCGGACCGCCAGGGCAACUCCCUGGACCUCUCUGAGCCUUGUUUCCUUUCUAUUGGCCCAGAUGCUCGGGGCAAAAUACUUGGGGUCCUCCAUGUCUCUGUCUCUGUUUUCUUUCUUCUCUCUCUCUGUUUCCUUCCUUCUUUCUUGUCUUUCUUCUUUCUCUAUCUCUCCUUCCUUCCUUCCUUCCUUUCUCUUUCUUUUCUUUCUUUGCCAUCCUUCUUUCUUUCCUCUAUCUCUCCUUCCUCCCUUCCCUCCCUCCCUCCUUUCUUUCUUCUCCAUCCUUCUUUCUUUCCUUUAUCUCUAUCUCUCCUUCUUUUCUUUCUCCUUCUUCCCUUCCCUCCCUCUCUUCCUUUCUUUCUUCCUCUCUUUCUUCUCCUUCUCAGGUCUCACUUUGUUGCCCAGGCUGCUCUUCAACUCCCAGGCUUCAGUGACCCUCCUGCCUCUGCCCCGCAAAGUACUGGGAUUACAGGAGCGAACCACCAUGCCUGGCCUCUAUCUCUGCCCCUGUCCCUUUCUCUCUCUCUUUCUCUCUCUCUCUCUCUCUCCCUCUCUCUCUCUCUCUCUCGUAUCAGCAAAUCCCAAGGGCUCUGUUUUCAAAAUCUAUCCAGCAUCUACCCACUUUUUACCUCCUCCACGGCCCCUACCUGGUCCGGCCCCAUCAACUCCCCCUUGGCCCAGUGCAGGCUCCUCUGCCCUGGUCUCCUGGCUCCUGCCCUUGCUCGCCCCCUCCAUGCUUUUCUGUCAGGGCACGUCCCUCCUCUGCUCAAGGACGCUCCAGGGCUCCCACCUCACCCAGUGCAAAAGCCAAAUUUCUCCUUGUGGCCCACAGGGUCCUGCAGGAUCUGCUCAGCACUUAUCUGCCCACACCUCCUCCUCUUCCCUUUGCUCAUUCCCUUCAGCCAUGCCAGCUUCCUUGCCCUUGGGCAAGCUCCUACCUUAGGGGUUUGCAGGGCAGUUCCCUCUCCACUUGUGGCACCACCUCCUCCUCCAGAUCCCCGCAUGGCUUUCUCUCGCCCCCUUCAGGUCUUUUUUUUUUUUUGA